CUCCUGCGUGACAACUGCCGCGCCAUACCCACGUGCCAUGACAACAUGUUCGCUCUCUCGCCCACGGAACUACAAGCGGCCAUGCGGGCUGACGUGGAAGCCGGGCUGGUGCCACUUUUCUUGUGCGCGACGCUGGGGACGACCCAGACGACCGCCGUUGACCCCAUUGGCAAGCUAUGCGCUGUCAGGACACCACACGGCGUGUGGGUGCACAUGGACGCCGCCUACGACGGCUCCACGCUGGUCUGCCCGGAGUUCACCCACGUGAUCGAUGGCGUGGAGGACGUCGACUCGUUUAGCAUGAACGCCCACAAGUGGCUCCUCACCAACAAUGACUGCUGCGCCAUGUGGGUGAAGAAGCCGAGCGCCUUGGUGGCGGCGCUCGGUCCGGAGCAGGAUUUGAUCCUCAAGGACGCGGCAUCGGAGGGGCACAACGUGGUCGACUACAUGGACUGGACCAUGACGCUGACCCGCCGGUUCCGCGCGCUUAAGAUGUGGCUCGUGCUCCGCUGCUACGGCAUCAAAGGCCUGCGUGACCACAUCCGCAAUCACGUCCGCAUGGCCGAGGCAUUCGAGAAGAUGGUCAAGGCCGACGAAAGGUUCGAGGUGGUGACAGACCGGAAGUUUGCGCUGGUGUGCUUCUGGCUCCGGUCACAGGACAAAUUCGGCGGCGCGGACAAGCAGGCGGCCAACCGGCUCAACCGUCGUGUUCUUGAGGAGGUGAACGCUGCCACCACGGGCCCAUACAUGAGCUCUGCAAACGUAAGUGGCAUGUUCAGCCUAAAGUGUGCCAUUGGAAGCACACUCACAGAGGACCACCACGUGAGCGAUUCAUGGAAGGUUGUGCAGAAUCAGGCCAUCAUAAUCCUUCGUAAAUAA
rnacentral:rRNA from 1 species